GAUCCCCGGUCGGGUCAUGAUGGAAAAUGAUUUUUUUCUGAUUAGCCCGGGUCUUGGAUGUUUAUCUAUAUAUGUUAUAAAAUAUAGUAUUGUUGAGUUAGUAUCCCAUAACACAAGUCUCGAACUUACUUUGGGGCUAGCUCAAACUGUGUCAUUUGUCCUAAUAUAUUUAUUUAAUAUAUUUAUUAAUAAUAAUCGUUUUUUAGUUUGUAUUAUUUCUGUAACAGUGUACUGUAAGGAGCUUGACCCCCAUACCACAGGGAAACCGAUGGGUGUCAGAGCAACAAGUUUUGUUUGUAUCACAUUCUGAACAAACGAUAUUUGAACAUUAAAACUAAAUGUUGUGAUAGUUUUGUGGAUAGAUGUGGUGAAACCAGUUGUACAACACUAAUCCGCCAUGUUUUCAACACAGAUUGAUGUCAAAGUCAAUGUCAUUACAGGAGAACACGAAAUGCGAAAUUCGGAAAUUCCCAACUUCUUUUCCGUUCCGAACUCCGAUGCAAUGCAAACUAAGAAAUAAUAAUUCCACAUUUCCAUGGUGUGUUGAUUGAAACAGUGAUCUCGCUCUCGUGGAUAAUCUUGAAGUACGAAGAAGGACAUAGAGAAUCUUUCAUCCUGGAAAAAUAAAUGUUCCCGUGGGAAAAUCACACGGACAAAGUCGCGGGCAAAAGCUAGUUUAUAAUAUAAUACACAUAAGAUCAACUGAUUCUGUAUAUCCCUAUCAUGCCA